AUCAAACAAGCACCUUUACAUGCCCUGGUGGUACUAACUAUGAUGUUAUCUUCUGCCCAUGAUGCCUCUACUAGUCCUGUUAGACGAUUUGGUACCAUCUUGGGAUCCAAAUGUCUAGAAGAAUAAAUUUGAGCACAUGUCCAUGUCCAUAGUCAUGUAAUAAGAUUUCUACCAUCAUAGAAAUCGAAUGAUUUUCAGAGGGGUUAGAAGCUUUGAAUAAUGUUUAAAUGUGCUUUACUUAUAAAAGUUUAGAACUAAUUCUUCAUAAAAAUAAUUUUGUCCAAGUGUUAUUGUUUAAGAGUUUAUUUGAUAUUGAAUUAUGAAAGUAUUUUGAAUUAUUUUAACAUUUAAAAAAUAAUUUUUCUUUAAAUAUUAAAAAAUUUAAAAAUGCUUCUUAUAAUUAUUAUCAAAUAAACUCUAAAUACUAUAUAUUAAAAACAUAAUUACUAGAAUGACCUCUAAAUGAAUUCAUAUUUUAAGUACACCGAGAAUGAUAGAAUUCAGUAAUGGUGUUUUAAAUUAAAUUGGUAAAUAUUUUGGGAUUUUCCAUUUGAAUAAUUUUUAGAAGUGAAUAAAUUAUUUUUCAGCUCUAACAUAAACAAAUCCUGUUAUUGUGGUGUGGAAAAACCUUUGCUCAAGAGUCAAGAGCGGUGGUGGAGGCUUGAGUUACGUACCCAAGUUGAAUUUUUGUAAAAGGAUGUGGAGGAGUAGAGUACAAGGAAAAUUGAUUUGCGGACAAGACCAGUUAGUUAGUGAAGCUUGAUUAAAGUCGAAGUUUUGGUGUUUUCUCCCAAGACUUCCUUUGUAGUGGUCCAAAAAAUUGGUAAGGAAAUAUGACAGACAUCGAAAGAGGAUUUGGCUAAAAGUCAAUAACUAUUUGGAGCUAUGUUCCCUUCUCGGGGCGAUGGCGUUUGCUAGUAAUCUUUGACUCGCUCUUCCCCGUAGCUUCCAUAGCAGUCCAAACCGGUUGCUUGUUCAAGGAAAACACCGUAUAAAUAAGAGGGAAGUGGCUAAAAGUCUAACUAAUUAAAAUCGUAGUCAUUUAUUGUGUGGAAUAGCGGGACACAUACGUAUUGAAGUUGAACUUGUCCAUCAAUUAAAUCUAAUACAAUUUUCUUUUUCAAUCCAACUAUUACGUAAUAAAUUUUAAAUUUCAAAUAUAUUUGCUUUUAAAAUUUACUCAAACCAAUUUAAUAACUUACAAAUAACUAAUUCAAUAACUUGGACUUCUUUAAUAUAGUAUUGUCCAAGCAUAUAUUUGAUAUGUCUUUAAUUUAUUUUUAAUUGUGCUUCUAAGCUACGUUUGGUUCUCGAAAAAUUUGAGAGAAAAUUUAAAAGAAAAAAAUUACAGAUGAAAAAAAAUAAAAAAUAGUUUAAAUAUAAUAAAUUAUAUUUGAUUUGAUUUUCUAUUUUUUUUUAUAGUGAAACAAAAUAUGAGAAAACCAUUUUUAUUAAUAUUUUUUUUCUUUAGAACACUUUCCAACAUAACUUACCAUUUAUUUUUUUGGUCAUGCAAAAGUUGAUGUAAAAAAUAUAGUUAGUCUCUCUUAUAUCAUUCAUUUGAAAUUGAGUAGAUUAAUGGUGUUUGUUUUUUUGGUUUUUUACUUAAAGCAAUUUAGUUUUAGAAUUUAGGUUGUUUGUUUUUCUACUUUUUCAUGACUUAUUAUAAACUUUUUACUAAAUAGAAAAAGUCAAAAUAUGUAGCUUUUUCUAAGUAGGAAAAAUAACAUAUUGAUUUUUUUUACUUUUUAAUACUUAAUAGAAAUAAAAUACUACAAAAACAAAUAACCUAAUAUUUAACACUAUUAAGCAUUAAGGUUCUAUUUAGAAUUAAGUAAAAAAACAAACAUCAUCUUCACACUAAGUAAUAACCCUAUAUUAGUCCUAAUAAGUAAUAAAAUUCCUCUACUAAUACAUGGUAUGGAUAAAAUAUUUACUAAAUUAACAACAUGAAUGUAAGUAAUUUAGAUAUUAGUAGGAUAUAUUUUUGUCUUAAUUAUUUAAAAAUAUAAACAUAUUUAUAUUAGGUUCUUGCUUUUUAUAAAUAUUAAUUCAACAUUUUUAGUAAUUUUUUUUUUAAAUUUAAUAAUUACAUAACCAAAAGUAAAAAAAAAAAAAAAUCAUUUUAUGAUGAUUUUUUGUCAAUUUUCAAUGAUUUCUUUCUAGUUCUUUGUUUUCAGUAGGUUAUUGAGUUAAUAAAGAAAUAAUGAAAUAUAAUGUGAUUGGGUUUUGGGUAUUUUUUUUUUUUAUAAUUUGUUUAAAAAAAAUUAGAUAAUAAAAAUAUCAUAUAUAUAUAUUUUGUUAUAAAAUUUUUAAAAGGAAAAAAAUUGUUGCUAAAUAUGAUUUUCAAAAACAUUUAUCACAAUUUUAAUUCAAAAAAUUGAAAAAUAAAAGUGUAAUGGAAGAUACUACUAAUGUAGUACAAGCAAUAAAUAUUUUUACCCUUAGUUGUGAAAAAUAUAGAGGAAAGAAAUUUUAUGAUGUCUGUUUCUAGAAGGUUGUAGGAAACCUGUUUGCCACGCCAGCCUAUUAAUAUUUUCUUCUUCGAAAAUUAAGAAAUUAUGGCAUUUUUUUAAAAAAAAAUUAUGCUUAAAAAUAGUUUUUUAUUUAGAAUAUAAAACUUAAAUUUAAAGAAAUUGAGAAUAUAUUCUAAAACUGAAUUAUCUUUUAGAAUAAAUUUAAGGGUUUUUUUUUAUUAUGUUCUAUUAAAUAAUAAUUAUUAAAAAUAUGAAAAUUAUUUUUUUUUAAAAAUAUAUUAUAUAUGUGUAUGUCAACUUUAAGAAAAAUAAAUAAAUAAAUAAAUAUAUAUAUAUAUAUAUAUAUAUAUAUUUUAUGUCUGAGAUUUUAAACAAAAUUUUAUUUAUAAAAAUAAUUAAAAAUUAUGUUUUGCCUAACAUGCCUAUGUUCUAGUCGUCUACGGAGUUGGUUCGGGAUGGCAGUGGAAAAUAUACUUUAGAUAUUUUCUCUUCUCUAUAGUCAGAUGCUUCUGCGUAUUUUAAAUGGUAAAGACCAAAACUCAAUUAUGAUAUUAUCGAAAAUAGACCCAGUCCAAAGUGGUCAUUCAUACUGGCAUAGUUCCAGGAAGGUGAUCAACAUCAGGGCUGUCUCAUUCAAGAAAGGAAAUUUGCACCCACGUUUUCUAGAUACAUUCCUACUGUUCUGAUGAUUCGGUAUGCACGAAUUUAUGCAAAGGUUAGGCAGAUUUCUGAAAAUAAUAAAAAUGGUAAUGAAGUGGACCCUUCUCUCUGUAAAAUAUUUUAAAUAAAAAAUACUUAUUUUUCUAAAAAUAAGUAUUUUCAAUAUGUAAUAUAUGUUUUAAAAAAAAAAAUUAAUUUACAAGCUUAUUUAUUUUUAUUUCUUAAAAAUAUUAUCGGCUUUUGUUGAUAAGAUUUGAGGAAAGAAAAAGGGCCACCUCACAUCGACUCUUCCAUGCCCGCAGGCCCCAACGAAGUCGACCACAAAGAUGACGCUAUCUUUUGGAAUUUUUACAGGGAGGUUUUUUCACAUACACACCAACCCAAGCCCACCUUCACCCUAUAAAAACCCCCACCCGGUUCCUCACAGAUCACCCCACUCCAACCAUCAAGCCUAUAUAUCUUCCGAAACUCAACAAUGGGCCUCUGCAAAAUCCUCUCCAUUUCCUCAUUCCUUCUCACCACCCUAUUCUUCACCUCCAGCUAUGCAGCUACGUUCAACAUCCAAAACCAUUGCUCCUACACGGUUUGGGCUGCGGCAGUCCCAGGCGGGGGCAUGCAGCUUGGCUCAGGCCAAUCCUGGAGCCUCAAUGUGAAUGCCGGCACCACUGGAGGCCGUGUUUGGGCCCGUACCAACUGCAACUUCGAUGCGUCAGGGAAUGGGAAGUGUGAGACCGGGGACUGUGGUGGCCUCCUCCAAUGCACGGCCUAUGGUACACCCCCUAACACCUUAGCCGAAUUCGCACUUAACCAAUACAGCAACUUGGACUUCUUUGAUAUAUCUUUGGUUGAUGGAUUUAAUGUUGCUAUGGCCUUUAAUCCUACUUCCAAUGGGUGCACCCGUGGCAUCAGUUGCACCGCCGACAUCGUGGGAGAGUGCCCCGCUGCGCUAAAGACUACCGGUGGUUGCAACAACCCAUGCACCGUUUUCAAGACCGAUGAAUAUUGUUGCAAUUCUGGGAGCUGUAAUGCUACAACUUACUCCGAGUUUUUCAAGACUAGGUGCCCUGAUGCUUAUAGCUACCCUAAGGACGAUCAGACAAGCACCUUCACAUGCCCUUCCGGGACCAAUUAUGAAGUUAUCUUCUGCCCAUAAAUCUAUUAUUUAAAUCAUAUGCUAGUAUGCCUCUACUGGUCUCAACUAUUAGGAGGCAAUGGUAUCCACCUUGGGUUCCAAAAGCCUAGAGGAAUAAAGUUGAGCCCAUAUUCGUGGUCAUGUAUUAAGAUUUCUACACUAGUCGAAGCAAUGGAUGCCUUUUUUUAUAUAGAUAUAUGCUAUCUUCUUCUUCUAAUCUCUGUGGUCCCUUCCAAGUAACAUUUCAUAUAGAUAUAUGAAUUUUAAUGAUUAUUCUUCUUCAGAAUUCUUUUUUUUUUUUUUUUUGAAAAUGAAAUUAAGCUUAACAUGAACAAAAUUCUGCUAUCAUGGUACGGAGAAAUCUUUGCUUGAGAGCGGUGGUUGAGGAUUGAGUCACCUACCCAAGUCAAAUUUUUGUAACAAUUAGAUGUUCAUCUUUAGAGUACUACAAGGAAAAUUGAUGUGAGGAUAAAGACCAGUUAACGAAGCUUGACUGACGUCAAAAUUUUAUUUUAUUUCCUUUUCUCUAAUCCUACCUUGUAGCGGUCCAAAUUAAUUGUCUUGACAAGGAAAUAUAACACAUAGCCAAGGAGGAUUUGCCUAAAAGCCAUCAUCCUGUUUGAAAACUACCUCCCUUAUUGUGCACAUGACACUUUUUCUAAGGGGAAUAAUCCAACCAUACAUUGGACCAAUAAAAUAAGUAUUUUUGGGAUUUUAUUUUUACCUUCACAAAUUGAGUGCGUAAAGUGCGGGGGAAAAAAACUCAUUCAUGCAUUUCAAUAACACUUGUGAAUUUAUUCCAAAAUUACAUUCAAAGUACACCUAUCAUUUUUUUUUACAUCAACUCUCUCACACCUCCAUUUCACCCGCCAUGUUCAUACGGUUUUUUUAUCUCUCACCAACAUAUUCAUAGUCUCAUGUAUUUUCUUAUAAAACAUCUUUAAUUUCAAUUUUUUUUUCACUCUCUAAUCUCUCCAUAUUUAUUGAUUUUAAUCAUUUUUUAGACACAUUAAACUUAAAAUGAUAAUAUAUAAUAAAUAAUUAAUAAUAAAAAAUUAAAUAAAAACAUAAUAUUUAAUGAACAAAAAUUAAAAUAUUAUCUCACAAAUAAUAUACUUGAUAAUUUUAAAUAUUAAUUAUAAUAAUGUUUAAGAUUUAAAUUUAAAAAUUAUGUUUUUAUUAUUUAGAGGCUUAUGAUAUAAUUUUUUUUAUAUUAAUACUAAAUAAAAGAUUUAUUGAUUUUGUAAAUCUUAUCAUACGUAAAAGUAAAAAAUAUCUUUGUAAUAUUAUUUUAUUAUUUUUAUUUUGAUAUAAAAUUUUUCAUUUGUAAUAUUAUUUUAUUAUUUUUAUUUUGAUAUAAAAUUUUUCAUAUCAAAAUCACAAUAAGUGAUAGUAGUUUUUUUUUUGUUAUGGUUUUAAUUGUGGUUUUAACUUUUUACUUGGUUAAAUUUUUUAAUUUUUUAUCAAGAUAAAAUAUAAAAGAAAAUAUGUUUUUUCAUAAAAAAAAAAUACAUUGUUUUAGGGAAAUUGAGAUACUUAUCUCUUUUAUCAUGAUGCAUAUACUCCUUUUGGAAUUCUCGGGAAGUGUUUUUAAAUUCUCUCCCACCUCGAAAAAGACUUUGAAACUUCAAGUAAGAAAAAUAAAUACAUCCUUUAAGAAAAAUGGAUUUUCUUUGAAUUGGUUGCCUCACAAUAUUUUAAAUGAUAAAGACUAAAAUUCAAUUAUGAUAUUAUCGAAAAUAGUCCCAAUCUAACGACUAGUCAAGAUAUUUGAAGUGGCCAAUCGUAUUGGAAGAAUUCCAGGAAGGUGCUCAACAGGGUUGUCUCAUUCAAAUAAGGAAAUUUGAAAUAAAUUUUCUCAAUACCAUGCACCCACGUUUUCUAGAUACAUUCCUACUGUUCUCAGAAUUGAGUGCUCAUGAAUUUACAUAGAAGUUAGGCAGAUUUCUGGAAAUAAUAAAAAUGAUAAUCACGUAGAACCUUGUCUCUGUAAAUUAUUUUAAAUAAAAAAUACUUAUUUUUCUAAAAAUAAGUAUUUUCAAAAUGUAAUAUAUGUUUUUUUUUUUUUUAAAUAAUAAUAAUUUACAAGCUUUUUUAUUUUUAUUUCUUAAAAAAAUUAUGGGCUUUUGUUGAUAAGAUUUGAGGAAAAACAAAAAGGGCCACACUACAUUGACUCUUCCAUGCCUACAGGCCACAACGAAGUCGACCACAAAGAUGACGCCAUCUUUUGGAAUUUUUACAGGACGGUUUUUCCACAUACACACCAACCCAAGCCCACCUUCACCCUAUAUAAACCCCCACCCAUUUCCUCACAGAUCACCCCACUCCAACCAUCAAGCCUAUCUUCCGAUCCUCAACAAUGGGCCUCUGCAAAAUCCUCUCCAUUUCCUCAUUCCUUCUCACCGCCCUAUUCUUCACCCCCAGCUAUGCAGCCACCUUCAACAUCCAAAACCAUUGCUCCUACACGGUUUGGGCUGCGGCAGUCCCAGGCGGGGGCAUGCAGCUUGGCUCAGGCCAAUCCUGGAGCCUCAAUGUGAAUGCCGGCACCACUGGAGGCCGUGUUUGGGCCCGUACCAACUGCAACUUCGAUGCAUCAGGGAAUGGGAAGUGUGAGACCGGGGACUGUGGUGGCCUCCUCCAAUGCACGGCCUAUGGUACACCCCCUAACACCUUAGCCGAAUUCGCACUUAACCAAUUCAGCAACUUGGACUUCUUUGAUAUAUCUUUGGUUGAUGGAUUUAAUGUGCCUAUGGCCUUUAAUCCUACUUCCAAUGGGUGCACCCGUGGCAUCAGUUGCACCGCCGACAUCGUGGGAGAGUGCCCCGCUGCGCUAAAGACUACCGGUGGUUGCAACAACCCAUGCACCGUUUUCAAGACCGAUGAAUAUUGUUGCAAUUCUGGGAGCUGUAGUGCUACAGAUUACUCAAGGUUUUUCAAGACUAGGUGCCCUGAUGCUUAUAGCUACCCUAAGGACGAUCAGACAAGCACCUUCACAUGCACUGCCGGUACCAAUUAUGAAGUUGUCUUCUGCCCAUAAAUCUAUUAUUUAAAUCAUAUGCUAGUAUGCCUCUACUAGUCUCAACUAUUAGGAGGCAAUGGUUUCCACCUUGGGUUCCAAAAGCCUAGAGGAAUAAAGUUGGGCACAUUUUCGUGGUCAUGUAACAAGAUUUCUACACUAGUAGAAGUAAUGGAUGUUUUUUUUUUUUAUAUAUAUAUAUAUAUAUAUAGAUUUAUGCGAUCUUCUUUCUUUCUAACCUCUAUGGUCCCGUCCAAGUAAUAUUUCAUAUAUAUUUUAUUCUAUAUAAUAUCUGCGGAUAAGAUCGGUUAAUGAAGCUUGACUAAAGUCAAAAUUUUAUUUUAUUUCAUUAUCCUACUU
rnacentral:lncRNA from 1 species